UAGGGAAUCUUCCACAAUGACGCAAGUCUGAUGGAGCAACGCCGCGUGAGUGAAGAAGGUUUUCGGACCGUAAAGCUCUGUUGUUGGUGAAGAAGGAUAGAGGUAGUAACUGGCCUUUAUUUGACGGUAAUCAACCAGAAAGUCACGGCUAACUACGUGCCAGCAGCCGCGGUAAUACGUAGGUGGCAAGCGUUGUCCGGAUUUAUUGGGCGUAAAGCGAGCGCAGCGGAAGAAUAAGUCUGAUGUGAAAGCCCUCGGCUUAACCGAGGAAUUGCAUCGGAAACUGUUUUCUUG
rnacentral:rRNA from 1 species